rnacentral:rRNA from 1 species
CCUACGGGUGGCAGCAGUGAGGAAUAUUGGUCAAUGGACGAGAGUCUGAACCAGCCAAGUAGCGUGAAGGAUGACUGCCCUAUGGGUUGUAAACUUCUUUUAUAUGGGAAUAAAAUGUUCCACGUGUGGGAUUUUGUAUGUACCAUAUGAAUAAGGAUCGGCUAACUCCGUGCCAGCAGCCGCGGUAAUACGGAGGAUCCGAGCGUUAUCCGGAUUUAUUGGGUUUAAAGGGAGCGUAGGUGGAUUGUUAAGUCAGUUGUGAAAGUUUGCGGCUCAACCGUAAAAUUGCAGUUGAAACUGGCAGUCUUGAGUACAGUAGAGGUGGGCGGAAUUCGUGGUGUAGCGGUGAAAUGCUUAGAUAUCACGAAGAACUCCGAUUGCGAAGGCAGUUCACUGGACUGCAACUGACACUGAGGCUCGAAAGUGUGGGUAUCAAACAGGAUUAGAUACCCUUGUGGUC